rnacentral:rRNA from 1 species
UACGGAGGGUGCAAGCGUUAUCCGGAUUCACUGGGUUUAAAGGGUGCGUAGGCGGGCAGGUAAGUCCGUGGUGAAAUCUCUGAGCUUAACUCAGAAACUGCCAUGGAUACUAUUUGUCUUGAAUGUUGUGGAGGUAAGCGGAAUAUGUCAUGUAGCGGUGAAAUGCUUAGAUAUGACAUAGAACACCAAUUGCGAAGGCAGCUCACUACACGAAUAUUGACACUGAGGCACGAAAGCGUGGGGAGCAAACAGG